rnacentral:lncRNA from 1 species
UUUCUUGCUCACUCACUAUGAGGGAAGCCAGCCACCAUACUGUGAGCUGCCUUACGGAGGAACCCACGUGGGAAUAAACUGAGGGAGACCUCAGCUAGGUUAAGAUCUGAGGUCUUCUCACAGCUGUGUUAUGAGCUUAGAAGAUAAUUUUCCCCCAGUCAAGCCUUUAGAUGAGACCACACCAGACCAACAGCAGGACUGCAACCUUCUGAGAGACCUUGACCCAGAGGUACCUAGCUAAGCCACAACCAGAUCCCUGACCCACAAAAAUUGUGAGAAGUGAAGCAGCAAUUCCUGUUCAUUUCCUGGCGGCCCACUCCUAGGAGUUGCAAACAAGAUGUUUUCUAUGGAUGCUCUUUAUCUUUGGAAUCCUCUUCCUUCCUGGACUGGAAACUGCAGAAUCAAAAUCUCUUGGCCUUCCACAAAGCCUUUUCUAAGGACAAGUUUGAUCCAGAGGCUCAAAUACUGUUACAAGGACUUCGGCUUUCUCCACCUCCUUUUUUGGCUUUGCUUGAGGCUCCAGGUGAUAUCAAGAUGUCAGCCAAGAAGCCCAGACCGCAUCCUACCAUGUUCUAGCCCAACAUUCAAAUGGAAGUUCUGGGUCUGACAUUCAUUGGUCUGAAGAUGCCCAUCUCUGACCUUAAUACUGUGGCCAAGGAGUGGAACAUGCUGAAUGGGUGGCUGUACCCCGCUGCUGGCUCAGAGGAAGGUGCAGCCUUCAGAGCGUGGAUUCUGGAGCCAGAAUGGCUGAAUUUGAAUUCUGACCCUGGAACUUUCUAGCAAUCCUUUGAGUCAUGAAUGAAGAAAAUCACUUUCACUUGUGGGAGCCAGUGGGCUCCAGUUCGUGUUGUCUCUGUUGUCCGUGGAGACUUUGAAGAUGUUUAUAUGCACCUCAACUAUCAAGAGGAAGAGAACAUGCCAGAAAGGGCCUCUUCCUCUUGGGCUAGCUCCUCCUCUCAAGUCCCUUCAAAAAGUCAGUGUGUCUGAGACACAAUAGACACAGCUUAAAUAAAGUGAAGAGGGAUAGGCCGUAGAAGAAGUAGUUUCUGUCUUUAAAAAAUGUAUUCAUUAUUUUGGGGAAUAAUAUAAACCUGAACACCAAUUUAAAAAACUUUAAAGGACUAUUCAGUGAAAAAUCAUUCUCUCUCCCACCCUCACUCCCCAUCAGCCACCAUGUUCCCAAACCAGAGGCAACUGCCAUUAUAUUUCUAGAGUAUUCUUCCAGAGACAUCCUAUGUAGAUAUAAACAUUCAUACAUACACAUAUAUAUGCUUUUAAAAUAUGCAAAUGAUGUACAAUACACAUUGUUCUGCACUUUGCUUUUUUUUUUUCAUUUAACAAUACAUCAGACAAAGAUGUUUUUUCUGCUCAAAGUGCCAUCAAGAGAGAAAAGUCAUUCUUCAGUUCAAUGAUCUGCAUCUGUUUCUGGCUUAUUGUAUUGACAACAAACAAAAUGCAAGUCAAAUUCUAUUGCAGCCAUAGGUAAUCUCGGCCUGGAGAAAUGUGAAUCCUCUUUAAAACCUUACAACUCUGAAUAACAGGAAGUGUGGAGUGCAUAGAGGAGAAAGGGAAGGAUGAAUUAUGCUUAAUAGAACGUUUUAUGGAACUGACAGUUGAGCCGAGAGACAUUUUGGAUGCCAUCUUGCAAAAUGAUUCCUUGCCUAGCUCUAGUAAGUAGAAUGCAAAGUUAUUGGCUAUAAUAGCAUAAUUUUUGCUAGUUAAGGAUCUCUAUAGGUGGCAUAGUGUCAAUAUUCUGGAUAUGACAUGAGGGAGGUAGAAAGAGAACAGGCUUUGGAAUCAGGCAGACCUAGAUGUUAAUACUGGAUAUACCAGUUAUUAAUUUAAACUAGUUUUCUAACCUCUCAGACCCUUGGUUUUCCUUUAUGUAAAAUGGAAAUACUGUACAUAAAG